rnacentral:rRNA from 1 species
AAGUUCCGACCCGCACGAAAGGCGUAACGAUUUGGGCACUGUCUCAACGAGAGACUCGGUGAAAUCAUAGUACCUGUGAAGAUGCAGGUUACCCGCGACAGGACGGAAAGACCCCGUGGAGCUUUACUGUAGCCUGAUAUUGAAAUUCGGCACAGCUUGUACAGGAUAGGUAGGAGCCUUUGAAACGUGAGCGCUAGCUUACGUGGAGGCGCUGGUGGGAUACUACCCUAGCUGUGUUGGCUUUCUAACCCGCACCACUUAUCGUGGUGGGAGACAGUGUCAGGCGGGCAGUUUGACUGGGGCGGUCGCCUCCUAAAAGGUAACGGAGGCGCUCAAAGGUUCCCUCAGAAUGGUUGGAAAUCAUUCAUAGAGUGUAAAGGCAUAAGGGAGCUUGACUGCGAGACCUACAAGUCGAGCAGGG